GGCACAGACCACAGAGGUCAGCUUCGGAGCCUGCAGGGCCAACGCUCACCCGACUGGCCAGGCCCAGACAUUCCAGGGAGCCUGUCCUGCUGCAUUGCUGCGUUUGCCUGUGCCUGGCUAGACAGGCGCUUCUGGGAAACUGCCACUCAUUCCUGUGCCCACUCCGGUGCGCUACACCCACAGGCCUUCCACAGGCACUCCAGUGGCCUGCCCUCUUCCCACGCCUGCCUGAACAGGGCCUAUUCUCUCCCUUGCUGUCACUCAGGAUACGCCCCACUGCUCAGACCCCCCCAGUCCUGCUACCCCCCACGCCCAUCAAGACUGCCUACCCUCUGGCACUCACAUAUUCACGAAUGUUCUUGGUCUUCACAGCCUUGUAGGAAGCGUAAGAUGGAUAGAGCAUCCCAAAUACCAGCCUGGAAGAGCAGACAUAGGGAGUGUGAAGGGCACCACACCUUACCCUCACUCUGCCAGGCAGCUGCCCCCCCCAGCCACCACUGGGGUUCCAGGCAGCAGUGCCUGCCUCGUUUUUCCCGAUUGGCUUGCAUAACCCGUGGUGCCUGAGUCAGUGCCCUGGAGGCCACCUCCCCACCCUGGUGUUUACAAACAUCCCCAGCCUGCCCAGGCCUGCAGAGGUGACCCAUGGGUACAUGGUGAUGCCAGAGCACAGCUGCACAGCCGCUCAACGAGGUGGGUGACAGCCCCAGACUGUCCCCUCCCACGGGCAUGCAAUGAGGCCCAGGGCCACCAGACCUGGCACCACCAAACUGCAGACCCGGAUAUUUGAGCCAGGUGCUGGAGUCCUCAGAGAAGAAAUUGAGGCUCAGAGAAAUUGGUCGACUUGCUUGAAAUCUCACACUGAGCAAAGUGGCAGAGCUCGAAUGCACACGUGUGCGGUGCAGACGAAGCCCAGACAGCGUCCUGCCGUGCACAGGCCACAGAUCUGCGUGAAGGAGAAGUCGCUGCCCAGCGCCAGGUAGCGGUGGCCACCCACCAGGAAGGGCUGCAGGGCCAGGGAGCCGCGGGAGGGCAGCGCCUGUACCUCGGAGAAGCGGGUGGCCUCCCAGCGCAGGAUCUUGGAGUCACCGAUGUAGCGGCUGAGGCACAGGUAGCUGUCA